CCUACGGGUGGCUGCAGUGGGGAAUAUUGGACAAUGGGCGAAAGCCUGAUCCAGCCAUGCCGCGUGUGUGAAGAAGGCCUUCGGGUUGUAAAGCACUUUCAGUGGGGAAGAAAGCCUUGGGGCUAAUACCCUCGAGGAAGGACAUCACCCACAGAAGAAGCACCGGCUAACUCCGUGCCAGCAGCCGCGGUAAUACGGAGGGUGCGAGCGUUAAUCGGAAUUACUGGGCGUAAAGCGCGCGUAGGUGGUCUGAUAAGCCGGUUGUGAAAGCCCCGGGCUCAACCUGGGAACGGCAUCCGGAACUGUCAGGCUAGAGUGCAGGAGAGGAAGGUAGAAUUCCCGGUGUAGCGGUGAAAUGCGUAGAGAUCGGGAGGAAUACCAGUGGCGAAGGCGGCCUUCUGGACUGACACUGACGCUGAGGUGCGAAAGCGUGGGUAGCAAACAGGAUUAGAUCCCCGGGUAGUC
rnacentral:rRNA from 1 species